UACAGAGGGGGGCGAGCGUUAUUCGGAAUUAUUGGGCGUAAAGGGCGCGUAGGCGGCCUUUCAAGUGACGGGUGAAAUCCCUCGGCUUAACCGAGGAACUGCCUGUCAGACUGGAAGGCUUGAGACCGGGAGAGGUGAGUGGAAUUCCCAGUGUAGCGGUGAAAUGCGUAGAUAUUGGGAGGAACACCAGUGGCGAAGGCGGCUCACUGGACCGGUACUGACGCUGAGGCGCGAAAGCGUGGGGAGCAAACAGGG
rnacentral:rRNA from 1 species